AUUUAUUUCAUUUACAAGCUAGAAUUACACCUGGAGGAGUUGGCUGAGCCCUUACCAAAACUGUUUCAAGGCUUCGACGUUCAGUCAACGAAUAUCGAUUCAAUGAGUUCAACCGACGGAUAGAAGAUGAAUCAAACAGGAAAGGGUUCAAGUCGGUUGCGUUUCCAAAUGUUGCUAGCCUUGCUAGUUCACUUCGUUGAGGAAACUCGCUCCGCUAAUGUGAGCUACGAGCCAAUUGAAUAUAAUUUUACGUGGAUUUCGGCCCUCAACGACUCUCUAUUAGAAAGUGGCGCUCCCUUGGCAAGUAUUGUGAGUAUAGAGCAACUCUGCGAGGCACAAGCAGAACUCAUAAAGAAUUCCCAGCCGUAUUCAAAUUAUUUCUGGACUGCUCUGAGACUCGAUAGCGAAGGUUCGUUCCAAUGGGGGCUUCCACCUAACAACUCAGCCCAGGAACCCCCCGAGCUCCUGGACAGAACACAACCGUUUGACCGCUGUUAUGCCAUUAGUAAGUCUAUGAUGAAGCUGAAGUCGAUAAACUGCAGCAGGAAACUUCCUUAUUUAAAUUCCUAUGAAGGUAAGGUUUAUUGUUAUUUAACAAUAUUCAGGUCGUUUCUCACUGAAAUAAAAUAAGUACAGCUAAAAUGCUUUCAGGUACAAC